GUGCUUGCUUCAGCAGCACAUAUUCUAAAAUUGGAACGAUAUAGGGAAGAUUAGCAUGGCCCCUGUGCAAGGAUGACAUGUAAAUUUGUGAAGAGAUCAAUCAUACA